GACGUAGGGGGCGAGCGUUGUCCGGAUUUAUUGGGCGUAAAGCGCGCGUAGGCGGCCGCUCAAGUCGGAUGUGAAAAUCCGGGGCUCAACCCCGGACCUGCAUUCGAUACUGGGCGGCUAGAGGCAGGUAGGGGAGAGCGGAAUUCCUGGUGUAGCGGUGAAAUGCGCAGAUAUCAGGAAGAACACCAAUGGCGAAGGCAGCUCUCUGGGACGGUACUGACGCUGAGACGCGAAAGCGUGGGGAGCGAACAGG
rnacentral:rRNA from 1 species